UCAUAUUCUGUGUGUGUGUGAGUGUAAGCUUCAGGUGUGUCUGAUUGUUUGUGAUCCUAAGGGCUGUAGCCCACCAGGCUCCUCUGUCCAUGGGAUUUUCCAGGCGAGAAUACUGGAGUGGGUCGCCAUGCCCUUCUCCAGGGGAUCUUCUUGACCCAGGGAUCAAAAUUG